UCACCUCGGGGCUUUGUCCCCCAGCACGAGCCGUGCAGCCUGUGGCGCCCUCAGCAGCCCCGGACUUGGGGUGUCACUGCCCUCUUCCCGGGGUGGGACAUGGUUCUCCCCCCAGCCGGGCUGGUCAUGGGCUGCCUGGUGGGCCGGGAGGGCAGGGACUUCGCAUCUCUCCAAACUCAGUUUUCUGAUCUCAAAGUGGGGCUGAUGAAGCCUAAGUCAGGAUGGCUGGGGAGAGCGAACAAGACCGUAAGACUGUGGAGCGACAGACGGCGCUGGACUCUACGGUGCACAGCAGAAGUGAGCUACCCGAUUCCUCCUCCACGAGCAGCGCAUGUUCAGAGGACCUGCGUGAGGACACAGCUGCUGUGUGACCCGGCCCUGCCUCCACCAGCCCCGUUCCCCAGCUCCUCUGGCCUCUCUGGCUUCCUUUCCAGCUCUGAUGCUGGCUCUGCACCCGCCGUCUGCAGGGCCCUUGCAGGUGCCAUCCUCAUUGUCUGAAACAUCGCCCUUGCUUCUCUUCAUUCUGCCAACUCUUAUACAUGCCCAGGCUCAGCUGCUGCGGAAUCUCAAAUUUCCUGAGUUUCCUGUCACAAUUUAUUUUUCCUUUGCUUUUUUUGCGGUGCUGGGAUGGAACCCAGGAGCGCCCCAUCCCUGGUCUAUAUCCACAGCUCUUUUAUUUUUGGAGGUCUCACUAAAUUGACCAGGGUGGCUUUGAACUUGUGACUCUCCUGCCUCAGCCUCCCAAGGGGCUGGGAUCUCACAUGUGCGCCUCUGCGCCUGGCAUGUUUUACUUUUCCUGAUAGCUGGGUUCUGGCUCUGCCUCUAGGUGGGGGUGCCCCUUCCAACGCAGAUGAUGCCUGAUACGGCAGUCACCCUUUCUCUCCUCGGGGGCUUUGGACACUGACCACACUCGCCAGGGGGUGGGUGACCAGGGAGGACAGGGCUGGCAAUGGCUCCACGUGUAGGGUGGACACAGUCACUGUACCGCGCGCGUGUGUGAGUGUGUGUUCAGAACACUGGUUUACUAAAUGUGAACACUAAAACCAAACUCCAAUUUCGUCGUCCUGUUUGGACAUUUCCCCCUACAAACCUCAAAACAGCAGCAGCAGCAGCAAACACAGGCCUCUGCCACUGCUCGCCCUUGGAACACGGUGCAGUGUUUUGCAGGAGCUGGUGUCUCGGAUUCGGUUAAGACCCUGGGUGUGGACAGGGUGAGGGCCGCAAGAGGCAUGAGCCCCGGUGACCCCUGCCACCCUCUCCUUGCCCGUGCCUGAGCUGCUCCGUCACAUGCACCUCCUUGGGGACCGUCCCUCAGAGCAAUCCUCACAGCUGAACGUGGGGUCGACGCUCGGGGCCCAGCACUCGGGAGGCCGAGAGUUCGAGGCCAGCCUGGGCUACACAGUGAGAGCCUGGCUCAAAAACCCAAACCCAAAACCACACGCAUCACAUGGAGAGAGGAUGGGCACAGGGCUGAGAAGCAGGCUGGAGCCAGAUCGUGAAAGCCUCCUACUUGCAGAGGUGCGGAGCCAUUCCUGCCCACGGGCAGAGCCCGGAAGCUGCUGUCGCAGGGACAAGCAUGAGACUCCCAGGC
rnacentral:lncRNA from 1 species